rnacentral:rRNA from 1 species
UACGGAGGGUGCAAGCGUUAUCCGGAUUCACUGGGUUUAAAGGGUGCGUAGGUGGGUCUGUAAGUCAGUGGUGAAAUCUCCAAGCUUAACUUGGAAACUGCCGUUGAUACUAUAGAUCUUGAAUGUUGUGGAGGUGAGCGGAAUAUGUCAUGUAGCGGUGAAAUGCUUAGAUAUGACAUAGAACACCAAUUGCGAAGGCAGCUCACUACACAAAUAUUGACACUGAGGCACGAAAGCGUGGGGAUCAAACAGG